UACGUAGGGAGCAAGCGUUGUCCGGAAUCAUUGGGCGUAAAGCGCGCGUAGGUGGCCAUGUAAGUCCGCUGUGAAAGUCAAAGGCUCAACCUUUGAAAGCCGGUGGAUACUGCAUGGCUAGAGUACGGAAGAGGCGAGUGGAAUUCCUGGUGUAGCGGUGAAUGCGCAGAUAUCAGGAGGAACACCAGUGCGAAGGCGGUCUCU
rnacentral:rRNA from 1 species